rnacentral:rRNA from 1 species
AGGGUUCGAUUCGUGGCUCGAGGACGAACGCUGGCGGCGUGCUUAACACAUGCAAGUCGAACGGGGAUUACCGAGCGGAGGGCUUCGGCCGGAAGGUGGUAAUCGAGUGGCGGACGGGUGAGUAACGCGUGAGCAACCUGUCCCAGACAGGGGGAUAACACUUGGAAACAGGUGCUAAUACCGCAUAAGACCACGGGGUCACAUGGCCCAGGGGUAAAAGGAGCGAUCCGGUUUGGGGUGGGCUCGCGUCCGAUUAGAUAGUUGGUGAGGUAAAGGCCCCACCAAGUCGACGAUCGGUAGCCGACCUGAGAGGGUGAUCGGCCACAUUGGAACUGAGAGACGGUCCAAACUCCUACGGGAGGCAGCAGGUGGGGAAUAUUGGGCAAUGGGCGAAAGCCUCGACCCAGCAACGCCGCGUGAGUGAAGAAGGCCUUCGGGUUGUAAAGCUCUGUUAUAGUUGACGAAGGAAGUGACGGUAGGCUAUAAGGAAGCCCCGGCUAACUACGUGCCAGCCGCGGC